rnacentral:rRNA from 1 species
UAAGGAAUAUUGGUCAAUGGACGCAAGUCUGAACCAGCCAUGCCGCGUGAAGGAUGAAGGUCCUCUGGAUUGUAAACUUCUUUUAUCUGGGACGAAAACGGGAUUUUUAUCUCAAUUGACGGUACCAGAGGAAUAAGCACCGGCUAACUCCGUGCCAGCAGCCGCGGUAAUACGGAGGGUGCGAGCGUUAUCCGGAUUUACUGGGUUUAAAGGGUGCGUAGGUGGGCUUAUAAGUCAGUGGUGAAAUCUCCGAGCUUAACUUGGAAACUGCCGUUGAUACUAUAGGUCUUGAAUUAUCUGGAGGUAAGCGGAAUAUGUCAUGUAGCGGCGAAAUGCUUAGAUAUGACAUAGAACACCAAUUGCGAAGGCAGCUUACUACAUAUAAAUUGACGCUGAGGUACGAAAGCGUGGGGAUCAAACA